GGAUGUGAGGGCGAUCUGGCUGCGACAUCUGUCACCCCAUUGAUCGCCAGGGUUGAUUCGGCUGAUCUGGCUGGCUAGGCGGGUGUCCCCUUCCUCCCUCACCGCUCCAUGUGCGUCCCUCCCGAAGCUGCGCACUCGGUCGAAGAGGACGACCUUCCCCGAUAGAGGAGGACCGUUCUUCGGUCAAGGGUAUACGAGUAGCUGCGCUCCCCUGCUAGAACCUCCAAACAAGCUCUCAAAGUCUCUUUGGAGCAAUAUUUUCUGUGUUAACUGCACAUAAACAAGCCAUUUAGUAAUUUGCUCUAU
rnacentral:snRNA from 1 species